rnacentral:rRNA from 1 species
CCUACGGGGAGCAGCAGUGAGGAAUAUUGGUCAAUGGACGAGAGUCUGAACCAGCCAAGUAGCGUGAAGGAUGACUGCCCUAUGGGUUGUAAACUUCUUUUAUAUGGGAAUAAAAUGUUCCACGUGUGGGAUUUUGUAUGUACCAUAUGAAUAAGGAUCGGCUAACUCCGUCCCAGCAGCCGCGGUAAUACGGAGGAUCCGAGCGUUAUCCGGAUUUAUUGGGUUUAAAGGGAGCGUAGGUGGAUUGUUAAGUCAGUUGUGAAAGUUUGCGGCUCAACCGUAAAAUUGCAGUUGAAACUGGCAGUCUUGAGUACAGUAGAGGUGGGCGGAAUUCGUGGUGUAGCGGUGAAAUGCUUAGAUAUCACGAAGAACUCCGAUUGCGAAGGCAGUUCACUGGACUGCAACUGACACUGAGGCUCGAAAGUGUGGGUAUCAAACAGGAUUAGAUACCCGUGUAGUC